GUAACCCGACGCCCAGUCACCCCGGAGGUCUGAUGGGGGGGCUCUACAUCAGCCGUCUUAAGGCUGAAUUGGGAACUGGGACAUUGGGGAGAUUUAUGGAAAAUCAUCGGUUUUUGCACUUUUCUGUUUCUGUCUGGAUCCAGUAGGCAGGAAGCUUCCAGAAUCAUCUCCAUGGUGACGCUGCCGCACCCGGCCUGACCAUGGACUGAAAGCCGGCCUCUGUCCCUCUGAGAGUGUGCACGUGUGUGCGUGUGCGUGUGCGUGUGUGUGGGGGGGGUCCAGGGAAGCCAUGUCUCUGAAGCGGACCGGGGCCCUGUUGCUGCUGUUCUUCUUCGUUGGUUCCGCCACGCAGGACAAAACGCCAGACACCCAUGUGACCUGCGUCAUCGCCGAGGACUGCUUCCUGCCCUGCUCCUUCCAGCCCUCCGGCCACGACGCCGUCGGCUGGUUCAGACAGGAAGUGGCGGUGCUCAGCUUCCUGUCGGCGGGCAGCGAGGAGGAAGAGGAGGAUGACGACGAGGACAAAGAGGAGGACGAGGGGGACGAGGACGAGGAGCGCGGGCAGCACUACGACGACCGGGCCAGUGUCUCC
ensembl:lncRNA